rnacentral:misc_RNA from 1 species
GCCAACCUCUUCCUCGUCAUGCUAAUCAUUGAAAAGGAAAUGAAAACAAAGAAAAACGAAAUCCCCUCAGAACAAAAUAAGUACAAUAGGACAGUAAAAAGAUUUAGCAGACUUAAUAUUUGUGUUAAUGUGAUUUGAGCACAUGAUCUAUGGUAAGUAUCACAUAUCAAGUUCAAUUCAAGCUUAGUGGCUUCUUUUUUGUCACAUAGAUAAAAAUGACAUCGGGACCAAGAGUACCCAAAAAAAGAAAAGCAUAUAUAUAGAGCCAGGAGAGGACAUGCUAAUUUUGAGAUGUAGAUGUCAUCCAAAAGAACAUUUCAGGCUGCGCGCUCAGAAAGUAGCAGAAUUGAAGUAGAUCCCAACACAAAGAAAAACAAUGGUUUUAAGAUGACAAUCAAGUCUAACCAAAUAUCUAAUUACAAGAAUACAUUCCCCCCCUUUGACAGAUGGAAUGAG